rnacentral:lncRNA from 1 species
UUUAAACUGCCUAAAAACUAUUGCAUUAAUUUGAAAUGUAAUAGGAAAAAAAUGAAAUGUAAUAGGAAAAAUAAUGAGUUAACAAUAAUUCAUCUCAUCAAUAAGGGCUAACAUGCAUUCAGGUAACAGACCUUUGUUCUGGCUGCCUCGUCCUCUACACAUGAUAACUGUAUGAGGUAGUUACUACUCUUAGCUACAUUUAUCAGAUGAGGCAAAUAAUUCAUAGAGAGGUCAAAUAACUUGUCCAAGGAAACAUGCUAGAGUAAGUAACAGAGUCAAGCUAAGAGAAAGAGCUCUACCAAAUUUCCCCUCUUGAAGUUUUAUGUGUGUUUCCGAAAGUAUAUAUGUCGAUUAAAUUUUUAAAAUUAAAUUGUACAUUAAAUGCAGUCAAAUUAGCUGUUUAAUCAAAUGAAUCAUUUAUGGUAAUAAUACCCCAAAUUUACCUGUGUAUAAAUUUAAAUGUUGUUGUAUCAUUGCUUUUGUUCUGUACUCUCUAGUUAUCUAAAGACAGAAACACAUCUCCAACCCAUUUAAAUAAAAUAGAGAGUAUUAUUGAUGCCUACAACUGCAAAGCCACUUCAGACAUGACCAGAUCCAGAAGUUCCAACAAGAUGAUAAGCCUGCAGCCCUUUGUCUUACAACUCUACUUCCUUUGCCUGCAUUCUCAAGGAAGAUUUGUGUCCACUGGCCGAUCUUAACUUUAAUUUUUCCUGCAGUCGGAUACAUAACACAAACAAACUCCUUUCUCAGUAGCUCAGGCAAAACUCCCAAGAGAUAAUCCUCAUUAGUCUAGUUGGGUCGUGCUCCAAUGCCUGAACCAUCACUGUGGCUGGAGAAAGAAAGUUCUGUCUCCAGGCCUGAGUGUUGUAUCAGCCCUACCCAAACUAAGAAGGGAGAAGGGGUGAUGUCUAAAGGAAAAUCAAGAUAUUGCUACCUACGGAAGAGGAAGAAAUUGCUGGCCAGAAAAAAAAAAUCCACAAAACUCCCAGACACAAGUUCUCUAAAAAUAGUUUUUAGCUUUGUUAGUGUAAUCUCUUCAGUGUUAACUAUAACGUGGCACUGAGUCAGGUAGGGUGCAGUUGCAGAAAAUAAAAUCUGCUCUAGCUAGUUUCAGCUGAAAGGGAUUUAUUACAGGGUUUUAAGACACAUUUCUCAAGACAAACAAAGAGACGGAGUUUCUUUUAAGGUCAUAGGAAAUAUGCUAAGAGAAGGUUAAUCUCUUUAGUGUAAAAGGGUUGGUUUUUGUGUAAAUAUUCCACGCUGAGUUUGGAAUACCGCAUUUCCUCUUUCUCCUCCUCCUAGGAUGACCAACAAGUCUUGGUUUGAGAUUUUCCUGGUUUUAAAACUGAAACACUCAAUAAUCCAGGAGCUCCUCCAUGCUGGGAAAACGAGGAAAGUUGGUCACCUACCUCAUCCCACCCCCUCUAGUAGUGAUAUCAAAUGCAAUCUACUGGCUAAAGCCAAUACUUGAAGCCAGCUGACCAAGCCAUAUGAUCUAGGAAAUCAGGGGGCAGGGAAAAGAUUUAAAAAACCUAAACCUCUUUAAUAAAGAAGAGAAUGAAGGGGAGGGAGAGUCCAAGGUGAAUGGAUUUCCCUAUAGGGCACAUUACAGGUUAGUACAUGGAGUCCUGAGAGGCCCCAAGUCUCUUGAGGAGUUGGAAUCCAAUAGAAAAAGGAACUAAGCCCAAAUGCCCAUGACCUAUUGGGUCUAUGUUGAUUGGAAGGUCCCAAGAAUUGUUUCAUGUUCAUCCUAGCCUCUGAGUGUUUGCUUGCUAGCUGACAGGAAUACUGCCUGAUAAUUGGGUUAAAUCCCCUCUCCUUCAGGUUAUAAAAUGGAAAGCCGAGAAAUACAUACCCAUCCUUGUACAAUUAAAGUUCUUUCUGAUAUUGACUACCAGACCCUCCCACUUUUAGUAUAUAACUGAAAACCUUAUGAAAUUCCUCCUUCUCCUUCUGCUCCAGUCCUACCCUAAUGGGUAUCCCAUACAGGGGAACUUUGCCCCCCUUGCCCCACCCUUGGAUUUGGGGGAUUUCUCUCACUGUAGGUCCCAUUUACACUUCAACUAAAAUGGCAGGACUAUGAGAUUAUUCCCUCAGGGCUAAGGCCCAGAAAAGAGUAUGGGUCCUCCCCAAUGCUUCCCCACCUUCACCUAAUUUUACUGAACUCCUGAAAUACUUCUUUCCCAAGGGAAGAGGCUGAUUUGCUUCAUCAGAAUAAUUCAGCAAGAGAUAACCAAAAUUACUCUUCAUUCUGCCUAUUGGGAAUAUGAGCUAAAUAUUGGUGCUUAUAUCCCCCCAGAAUUCUGCUCUUUACCUUCUCAAAUUUUCUACCUUGAGUGUCUCCAGUAAAGGCCAUGCUUUACUACAACUUAUACACUGGUGACACACAAAUUAUUUCCUGUCCCCAUAGCUCCGCUCUUGAAUUAUCUUCAGUUCCCCACAGGCAAAAUCCUAGAGCUUGUGUACAUUCUAUCUCUAUGUUCACCCAAACUCUCUGUGGUCCUUUCUCUCCUCAGAGGCCCCUAUAUUAGCUACACGAUGGGAAGGCAGGUAUUACAUUAUGCCCUUAUUUUACCAACAAGGAAAAUAAAAUCCAAUGCAGUAAAGUUGUUCAUUUAAGACCACAUAUCUAGGGGCCCCUGGGUAGUUCAUCGGUUGAGCAUCUGCCUUUGGCUCAGGUCAUGAUCCUGGGUCCUGGAAUCGAAUGCAGCAUUGGGCUCCCUGCAGGGAGUCUGCUUCUCCCUCUGCCUAUGUCUCUACCUCUCUCUGUGUGUCUCUCCUGAAUGGAUAAAUAAAAUCUUAAAAAAAAAAAAAA